rnacentral:rRNA from 1 species
CCCGCUGAACUUAAGCAUAUCAAUAAGCGGAGGAAAAGAAACUAACAAGGAUUCCCCUAGUAACUGCGAGUGAAGCGGGAAAAGCUCAAAUUUAAAAUCUGUCAGUCUUUGGCUGUCCGAGUUGUAAUCUAGAGAAGUGUUAUCCGCGCUGGACCGUGUACAAGUCUCCUGGAAUGGAGCGUCAUAGAGGGUGAGAAUCCCGUCUUUGACACGGACUGCCAGGGCUUUUGUGAUGCGCUCUCAAAGAGUCGAGUUGUUUGGGAAUGCAGCUCAAAAUGGGUGGUAAAUUCCAUCUAAAGCUAAAUAUUGGCGAGAGACCGAUAGCGAACAAGUACCGUGAGGGAAAGAUGAAAAGCACUUUGGAAAGAGAGUUAAACAGUACGUGAAAUUGUUGAAAGGGAAACGUUUGAAGUCAGUCGCGUCGGCCGAGACUCAACCUUGCGCUCGCGCUCGGUGCACUUCUCGGUUGACGGGUCAGCAUCAAUUUCGACCGCCGGACAAAGGUUGGGGGAAUGUGGCAUCCUUCGGGAUGUGUUAUAGCCCUUGAUUCACAUACGGCGAUUGGGAUUGAGGAACUCGGCGCCUCGCGCGUCCAGGAUGCUGGCAUAAUGGCUUUAAGCGACCCGUCUUGAAACACGG